rnacentral:rRNA from 1 species
UACGUAGGGGGCAAGCGUUGUCCGGAAUCAUUGGGCGUAAAGAGCGUGUAGGCGGUCCGGUAAGUCCGCUGUGAAAGUCGGGGGCUCAACCCUCGAAUGCCGGUGGAUACUGUCGGGCUAGAGUGCGGAAGAGGCGAGUGGAAUUCCUGGUGUAGCGGUGAAAUGCGCAGAUAUCAGGAGGAACACCGGUGGCGAAGGCGGGUCUCUGGGCCGAUACUGACGCUGAGGAGCGAAAGCGUGGGGAGCGAACAGG